GAGGGAUAAGGGGGGAGGAUAAGAGAAGGGGGGACUUGGUGACGUGACUGCAGCAACAGAGAUGGCCUGGGAGGGGCUGAGCCCCAGACACAGGAACACAGAGGGACAGAGGGAGUGACCGACAGGGACGCAGAAACAUGAGAAGUGACCAAGAGAGACCCUGAAGGGAAGAGGCAGGGGAGAACAAACAGUGAGAGAGAUUGCUCAAGACCCCCUUGGGAGCCAGUGCAGGUGUGUCUAAGCCCUUGACACAGGGCUCCAACCUUAGGCAGUCCUGGGUCUGAAUCCCAGCUGUGCGGCCUGCCAGCUGCGACCUUGGGCAAGUUAUUCCAGUUCUCUGCACUUCAGUCUCCUUAUCUGCAAAACUGGGAAACUACCC
rnacentral:lncRNA from 10 species